GUGUUUGCUUAAUUGGUAUCAGGUUAACCCAUGAGACAUUCUUUUGUCGUUCAUCCAAAAAUAUUACGCUUCUGGAGCCCAAGUCAAAUUGAAGGUUGAUCGAAAGUUUGGCAUUUACACAGUUUUGCAACCGUUGAGCGUGUCACCUAAAAUGAAUGAUAAGAAACUUGCUUUUUUCCAUCGAUUUCUAAGAUAUUCACGUUGUGCAAACGACAGGAGUUGACUGUGUCUGUUCAAUGUCUAUUCAUUUCUUGAUUCCUAUUUUUUUUUUCCCCCACUAAAUUAUACCAGUGCCGCGAAGGUCACACAUCUAAAAUUCAAACUUCUGGUAAGGAGCUUGUUGUCACAUAGAAUAAUAGUUAGAUUUUAUCGUCCCUAGAUGUAAACAUGGUUAAAUCAGCGUGAAUCAUGAAGCAUAUCUGCUCCUCUGUUGAAAACUAAAAAAUGGUUGAAUUAAGAACAAUUUAAUCAACAUUAUGAGGUGGAAGUGCAAAAGCUGGGUUUCUUUGAGCGCGGACGAGAUGUUUAUAAAUGCUUGUACUCAACUCCAAGAGGAAGAAAGAAUCUACCGACAUGGCUUCACUAUCUCGAAAGAUCUAAAUAGAGAAACUAUCCUGACAGAUACAAACGACGUUACUUUGACGCUCAAAAACGAUAUGCAUCGAAUUUUUCUUCUAUAUUUCUUUUGGCUAUCAAAUUUUAAACAGAGUUUCUUGUUUUGUUCUAGGUUUUUAUUGUUAUUUCUUUUAAUGUCGCCCCUUGUUAUAGGUGUUCUCUAUAAACUUGAGAGUUUAGAAACUUGUUUCGGAUCGUCCCCCUCUACGGCCUAAGGGAAUGGAAGAUUCUGACCCAUCCAGGCCAUCCACCCAAUUCAACCUGUAAGGAAGGAAGAGAAUUUCUUACUGAAAAAUCUCGUGUCAGAACUCGUGAUUCAAUUUUCAGUUUCAUUUCAAAAUUUCGUUGGUACGCCAAAAGCUGCAAAAUGCUCUUUUAGCGCGAGUAGCAACCGGUCGUCCGCAAACGCCCAACGCGGGUUACGUUGUAUAAGCUUGAUUUCUGUUAUGGAAUACGCUCUGAUGGAGUAAAUAUUCUGGAAUUCUCCAAAAAAUUACACAGGGUAAAAGGCGUUCAAAACCUGUUUUUGGUUAGUUUAUAAAAGUUCAGUUUGCA